ACAGUCUGGGCGGAGAGCCGGGUCGCCAAGCAACCUCGGGAAGGCCCCCGCCCCCGCCUCCGCCCCUCGCGGGGUCCCAUCAUCCCCCACCCCCACCCGGCGUCCCCCCACAGUUCCUCGAGCCGUCGCGCCGGGGUGGCCCCUUAGCUCUUCGCACCUGCGCGCCAGGGGCGUGGGGGAGGGGAGAGCUCGGAGUGGCCGUCAACUUCACCUCCAGUGUGAAGCCCCUUGCGGGGCUCAAGCUCACCACCCUGAGAUCAAGAUCUGAGCUGAGAUCCAGAGCUAGACGUUCAAACAACAGCCACCCAGACACCCCUAAAAAUUCUAAUUCUGAAGGUAGUUGCUCAUUUGACCUUAUUGGGAACCAGUGAAUGAUAUAAUAAAGUAAUCAAGAUUUGAACAAUAAAUGCAAAAGCAAGUUUCAAACAGA